rnacentral:rRNA from 1 species
UACGAGGGGGGCAAGCGUUGUUCGGAAUUAUUGGGCGUAAAGGGCGCGUAGGCGGUGCGGUAAGUCACCUGUGAAAUCUCUGGGCUCAACUCAGAGUCUGCAGGCGAAACUGCCGUGCUGGAGUAUGGGAGAGGUGCGUGGAAUUCCCGGUGUAGCGGUGAAAUGCGUAGAUAUCUGGAGGAAUACCGGUGGCGAAGGCGGCAUCCUGGACCAUAACUGACGCUGAGGCGCGAAAGCUAGGGGAGCGAAUGGG